rnacentral:rRNA from 1 species
UACGGAGGGUGCGAGCGUUGUCCGGAAUCACUGGGCGUAAAGGGCGCGUAGGCGGCCUGGUAAGUAGGGGGUGAAAUCCUGCGGCUUAACCGCAGGGCUGCCUUCUAAACUGUCAGGCUCGAGCACAGUAGAGGCAGGUGGAAUUCCCGGUGUAGCGGUGGAAUGCGUAGAGAUCGGGAAGAACAUCAGUGGCGAAGGCGGCCUGCUGGGCUGUUGCUGACGCUGAGGCGCGACAGCGUGGGGAGCAAACAGG